rnacentral:lncRNA from 1 species
GCAAGAGACACGUUAGCAUUUUCACUUUUUUCCCUCUUAUCCAGUUUUUUUUUUUUUUAAAGUGAUAUGACUGGUUUGUCUUUAAGCUAAGUCUUUGAGUUAGGACUGGUGCUAAGGAUACCAAUGUGUCUUGAAUGCAUUUUGGGGUGAGGAUGUAGAAGUAAAUCUACUUACAACAACACAAGAGAAAUAGUGCCAGACAAGUGUCUGCGUGGAGAAAACGGUAACUAACGAAGGAUCUGACGUAAAUGAUGAUCAAAUUUUUGAAGAUUUCUCUGUGAGAGAUUUCCUAUUAGUUCCAAUCCACACUGAUGACCUAGGAAGAUGCCAGCAA